rnacentral:rRNA from 1 species
UCGAGCGGUAGCACANANAGCUUGCUCUCGGGUGACGAGCGGCGGACGGGUGAGUAAUGUCUGGGAAACUGCCUGAUGGAGGGGGAUAACUACUGGAAACGGUAGCUAAUACCGCAUAACGUCGCAAGACCAAAGUGGGGGACCUUCGGGCCUCAUGCCAUCAAAUGUGCCCAGAUAGGAUUAGCUGGUAGGUGGGGUAACGGCUCACCUAGGCGACGAUCCCUAACUGGUCUGAGAGGAUGACCAGCCACACUGGAACUGAUACACGGUCCAG